UACGUAGGGUGCGAGCGUUGUCCGGAAUUAUUGGGCGUAAAGAGCGUGUAGGCGGUCAGGUAGGUCCGUUGUGAAAACUCGAGGCUCAACCUCGAGACGCCGAUGGAAACCAUCUGACUAGAGUCCGGAAGAGGAGAGUGGAAUUCCUGGUGUAGCGGUGAAAUGCGCAGAUAUCAGGAAGAACACCCGUGGCUAAGGCGGCUCUCUAGUACGGUACUGACGCUGAGACGCGAAAGCGUGGGGAUCGAACAGG
rnacentral:rRNA from 1 species